GAGUAGCUCAGCUGCUAGAGCAUGAGACUCUUAAUCUCAGGGUUGUGGGUUCAAGCCCCACGUUGGGCA